rnacentral:rRNA from 1 species
CCCUUAGAUGUUCUGGGCAGCACGCGCGCUACAAUGGUCUUCGCAAACGGAUGCAUUCUCGAAGGAGAAUGCCAAUCUUGGAAUCUAUGCCUUGGUCGGGACAGUUGCUUGCAAUUUUUCGACUCGAACCAGGAAUUCCUUGUAAUCGUGAUUCAUCACAUCACGAUGAAUACGUCCCUGCCCUUUGUACACACCGCCCGUCGCUCCUACCGAUCGAAGAGUUAGGUGAAUCGUUUUGAUCGAUAAGAUUUGACUAUGGUCAACUCUCGUUGUGAAAUUCUGUGAAUCUGACUGUUUAGAGGAAGGAAAAGUCGUAACA